rnacentral:tRNA from 1 species
GGCAUUAGCUCAGUUGGUUAGAGCGUUUGACUGGCAGUCAAGAGGUCAUCGGUUCGACUCCGAUAUGCUCC